UCUACUUGCAAUUUCAAAUUA
rnacentral:piRNA from 1 species